CACUCGGCAAGGGAGGAAAAUAAAAGGAGAAUCAAGUGAAGGGAAAGGAGAAAGGAGGCAGAAGAGAACACAAGAAGUUCCCUUUAACAGGAGGAAAAUGGCUUUUUAGGAAACAGCGAUGAUCUAAAGGACAAAGAAGUUGAUUCUACAGAAAACCAUGAGAAUCUACAAAUUCCACCGUUUAAACAGGUCAGCUUCACCUGUUAUGAUUAGAGUUAACAGAGAAAUGGAUAUCAACAGGUUUCCAGGAAAUAAGUCUGGUGAUGCAAUCACAAAAGAUGAUACCUCACUUUAAAUCUGAUGACUUCAAAGUAGGCCUGAGAUGACUACCCUCAAAUAGGUUGAUUUUGGCAUCAGUAACACUACAGGUAAAAGCGUGCAUUAAAACUGAAGCCACAGCCUGCACAUUUGCUUCUGUAGUCCAGCAUUUAGCUUGUCUGCUGAAGAACGGUUUUAAAAAUAUCCCAGAGAAGAUGACACCACUUAUACUCUUUGACAAAUGAAUUGGGAGAUGAACAGACAUUGAAAAGAAUAUAGGAAAUGUAUCACAUUGUUUAAAAAUAAAGUCAAAAACAUCCUUUAGAAGCUUCAGAAACAAAAGCAGUAGUGUAUAAAAAAAAAGUCCUCAUUCUCAUUCAGCAACUAUGACCGAGCGCCCACUCUGCGCAAUGAGAUCUAUGAAGCAUUCAGUCAUCCGAGUUACAAGCGUGCGACGCCCAAGCAACAUCUUCCACCUGUCCCCUGCUGCAGCAUCCUCAGCCUCGGCCCUCUCCUCUGCCUCCGCGGUCUCUGUCAUCAGCAUCGUCUGCUCCAUCCUCGCUCUCCCAGUUCACACCCUUCACUUCUAAUCAGCACUCUGGCUAUAGCCUGUUCUAAAUUCUACCCACCUCUGACAUGCUGGGUCAUGCAAAAACAUUCAGGAGUAGGUCAUUUCUAGUCCAACCAAUGUCCGACUAAUUUAUCGUCGUAUGGAGGAACCUCCUCCACUUUUGUGGGGUAAACAGUUCCCGUGCCUUUCCUCAAACUCCUUUACAGGGUAUUCUCAGCGUUUUCUUCUCUUGAAUUCUUAGGAAGUGAACAUAAUUAUGGGACCAGAAUGGACAGCUAGAUGUACACCUGGAGUUAUGUUAAAUUGUGAACUGUUGCUUUAAAAAUGGGCUGGCCUUGAUGUCGCUGCUCCAGUGAGAACCGAAGCAGGGGCGGCGGCAGCAAAGCGCCUGUUCCCUGAAAAGCAGACCUCAGAACAGG